AUGCAUGUCUAAGUCCAAGCUGUGUGUUUGUGGGUGAAAGCUCGCGCGCAUGGCGAAACCGCGGACGGCUCAUUAAAUCAGUUGUGGUCCGAAUGGGCUAGUGAUAUCUUACUUGGAUAACUGUGGUAAUUCCAGAGCUAAUACAUGCAACUUAUAGUCCUGGUGGCGUGGGCUUCGCGGCUCGCGUCGCGACGACUGCUUUUAUUAGACCAAACCGCUGACGGAUCGAGAUUGGGUUCUCUGCUCUUUCUGUUCCGAAGACUCGUGUAAUGGUGACUCUGGAUAACCAUCUAUGACAAGCGCACGUAUCCAUUAACUUGGGACGGCGCUUCCACUUACGAGUGUCUGCCUUAUCAGCUAUGUAUCGUUUAUUAUGCGCUAACGAUGGCUUUGACGGGUAACGGGGAAUCAGUGUUUGAUUCCGGAGAGGCAGCCUGAGAAACGGCUACCACGUCC
rnacentral:rRNA from 1 species